rnacentral:lncRNA from 1 species
GAGCUGUCUAACUGGCUCCAGAAUAACAGAUCUUAGUUAACCACCACUUGUUCUGAAAUGUCAGCGGACACUGCCACGGAAAUGGAGAGACAUAUUUGUAACAAGAGUGAAAUCUGCUGUUACUUACAAGGCUAAUACUUUAAAUUCUCAUUCUGGUUUUCACUGGGGAAUCUUGAAGCUUUUUACAAGCAUUAGUGGAUUAAUUUUCACUCCACCCAAAGCAUGGAUACAUUUACGAAGCUGUGAUUCUACAAAUGGGAGAAACAGAAAUCUAUCCUCGCUCUGAAUUAUUCCUCAAAUGUCUGGCAAACAGGGAACAGGAUGCAACCUGACACUGCCAAGCUCUGAGCUCCAGCCCAGGCCCUUCCUCUUCCUGUAAGUGGUCAUUUGACACAGAGCAAAUACACUUUUUAUUGCAGUUUACUAAAAGGAAGGGGGAAAAAAAAAGUAAAGAAAAAAGAAUACUCAUCCAUAGUUAGUCAUCUGUUUUAGAUCUGCUGUUUGGCACACUUGUGGAGCUGAGACUCAGACCUAAGACUGAUUUCUGUGUUUAGACUGUACAUGUUUUCUCUGAAAAGUGUUGAAACCACUUUUUCAAUGUAGACUCAGCUGUUGAAGUGUGGAUGGCAACUGCAACUUUACAAAGCAACUCGUAAGCAUGCAUUAAAAAAUAAAUACAGAACCAUAAUUUUUAUGUGCAAAUGGUUUUCUUAAGAGCUUGGUUUUCACUAGAAAACUUCACUCUUCUUACUUUUGUUUCAAAGUCUUCUCUCUAUGCCUUUAAAAUUUUACUUUCUCUGCACUUUCUUAUUUCAGUUAUGUUACCAUGUUGUAAAGCACUACAGUUUUCAGUAUCCAUUGUUUAAAUCCUUUCAAUUUUCACUUCAGUAGUCUGAGUAUUCAGUAAAACUGUUAGUCUCCUGGGGAAUCCAGUUACUGUUGAGUUAUGUUUUGGAAUUCUUUCCUUCUUUCGGUCCUUGAGUAACUAGAACUUUAUUUAACAAGAUUAAAAUCAAAGGAUGCCUGUUUAGAGACAAGUACUUAUUAGACCAAAUGACAUCUAUAUUUCAGAGGGAACUUUUGUGAAUUUAUGAACCCUUAGGAAUUCUCCUAAGUUGUUAACAUCUGCACAGAAUGAGUAUGUGAAAGCUUUGUAUUCUUUUCCUUAUUCCUUUCGUAGUCUAACUUCCUACUGGCUGCUGGCAUCUAGUUCUCAGUGCACAGAAGGGAAAAGCAGCCUGAACGUCAGCCUGACAAGAAUUAUUUAAUUCUGUACUAACAGAAACCUCCCUGGUCUGCACUGAUGUCUCUACAGUCUUGAGCAAUAUAUCAGAUACUAUGUCUGGAAGGAAAGGAAUCCUUCAGGAGUCAUGGAGACCCCUGUAAACUUUCUGACAGCAUCAAUGGUUAUCUCUUUGAUUUUCAAUGCCUAUCAGCCGUUCUCUCUCUUCUCCUGUACUGCAUUGCUAAGUCCCACUUCUAAGAAGUCAGCAUAGGGCAGUUUUGUCUACACUGUCAGUGUAGUUGAGGGCCUACCCUGGCUUACAUCCAACCACAUUGUUCAUACACCAGAUAUGCUCACAGAUUCCCAUUCCAGGUCAGAACCAGGGAAUAAGCAAACCUUAGAGGAGCUGAACUCUAUGCUUAGGUCUGUGUUCACAUUUAAUUUUCUUGUUGCCAUUUCUUGUGAUACCACACAUGAAG